AUUGAACGCUGGCGGCAUGCCUUACACAUGCAAGUCGAACGGUAACAGGUCUUCGGAUGCUGACGAGUGGCGAACGGGUGAGUAAUACAUCGGAACGUGCCUAGUAGGGGGGGAUAACUACUCGAAAGAGUGGCUAAUACCGCAUGAGAUCUACGGAUGAAAGCAGGGGAUCGCAAGACCUUGUGCUACUAGAGCGGCCGAUGGCAGAUUAGGUAGUUGGUGGGAUAAAAGCUUAACAAGACGAAGAUGGGUAGCUGGUCUGAAGGGACGAUCAUCCACACUGGGACUGAGACACGGCCCAGACUCCUACGGGAGGCAGCAGUGGGGAAUUUUGGACAAUGGGCGAAAGCCUGAUCCAGCAAUGCCGCGUGCAGGAUGAAGGCCUUCGGGUUGUAAACUGCUUUUGUACGGAACGAAAAGCCCCGGGUUAAUACCCUGGGGUCAUGACGGUACCGUAAGAAUAAGCACCGGCUAACUACGUGCCAGCCGCCGCGGUAA
rnacentral:rRNA from 1 species